UACUAGAGUAGCACUCGCAUAUCAAUAAGCGGAGGAAAAGAAACUAACAAGGAUUCCCCUAGUAACGGCGAGUGAAGCGGGAAGAGCUCAAAUUUGAAAUCUUAAAGGGUUUCCCUUUACGAAUUGUAGUUUAAAGAAGUGUUUUCUGUUGAGGUUUUGGUAAAAGUUCUUUGGAAUAGGACAUCAUAGAGGGUGAGAAUCCCGUAUUUGACCUUUACUUUCAACUUUGUGAUACACUUUCAAAGAGUCGGAUUGUUUGGGAAUGCAGUCCAAAAUGGGUGGUAAAUUUCAUCUAAAGCUAAAUAUUGGCGAGAGACCGAUAGCGAACAAGUACCGUGAGGGAAAGAUGAAAAGAACUUUGAAAAGAGAGUUAAACAGUACGUGAAAUUGUCAAAAGGGAAGCGUUUGACACCAGUGUUGUUUUUCUGAAAAUCAAUUAAAGAACUGUUUAUGCUAAGCUGUUUAGACUUUAUCAGCUAUCUGUUUAGUUUUGAGCUUUUCUUUAAUGCACUUUUCAGUCAACAAGUCAACAUCAAUUUCUUUUGCUGUAAAAAAGCUUGAGGAAGGUGGCUUGAGAUUCGUCUUAAGUGUUUAUAGCCUCUUGCCUAUGCAGUCGGAGAGAUUGAGGUCUGCAGCGUAGAUCCUUCGGGGCUAAAUGCAUUUGUGCUAAGUUAUAGCAUUUUAUAGACGACUUGUUGACUAUGAUUUGUCUUGUAGCUUACUCGCUUAUGUUAUUUUACCUACGCUUAGGAUGUUGAACUACUGAGACAUAGA
rnacentral:rRNA from 1 species